GCGUUGUCCAGGUCCGGAUCUAUUUGAACAAAACUCGAUGCAGAUGGGUUAUCUCUCUCCCCACCCCUUUCCUUAUCUUGUCUUGCCUUACGUUCUCAUCUAUCUCUUCUCCUUCCAUAACACAUACCUCUUCCAAUCUCUCUCAUACGAUCAUUAAUUCACCUUGUUGCCAUUUUGGCCAUAAAACAUUAACAAAAUAUCAUAAUACUCCACAAGAAAUCUGAGAAUAAUUUAUUAAUUUCUUUGAACCAGUAAAGAGGGAAUUUAAGAGGAAUUGCUGAUACAAGAAAUAAUAAUCUUGGAGUGUGUUUACAAAUAUUUAGAGCAAAAAUAAAGGUGUUAAGGUGACGUCUAUCACUUGCAGAGGAAGUUACCGUGCCACGCCUUGUAGUCACGUGACCUCAAGUUGAAUAAUUGAUCUAAAUUAAAAACAAGAUUUAAAUGAACUAUCAAGGUUGUUCGUUCUAAGGACAUUUUUUAUGUUCUGAGUGAACAAGUUGGUGCAACAAACGGUUUUAUCUUUACCCCAAUAAAGAUGAGUUUAAUGAAUCAAGUAUCGUGUUUGCUCAUUGUCAUUUCAUAUUGCCUUUUGAUUUCUCUUCCAGGGGAACUUCGAAGGAUCCGUUCUGAAUUUGUGAAGGGAGUUUCAGAACCAGCUAUCAAAGGUCUCCUGGGAUGACCUUUAUCAUCAUGAAGUGUUCAGUACUGAGGAAAAGGACUCUGUGAUGGAGGGCCAGAAGAUCAGAGCGGACCGAGCACGUUGUCUGAUCGACAUGGUGAUCGGCAAAGGGGAGAAAGCAAGUCAGAUGAUGAUCGAUAGUAUGAAGAAGAGGGACAAACACUUAUGCUCCACCCUGGGUCUGAAGUCUUUUCCUGGUGUGGGUGAGUUGUUACCAUGAAUCUACUUUUUAAAGAAACGGUCUCUGCCAGCUUUGUUUUGACAAGAAGGGAGCAUCUUUAUCCUUUAAUCCACUGGGAUCCAGUGAUUCAGUAUCAUCCACUCGGGAUUGCAUUUGUGUGGAAUACGACUUUUUUGAGAGGUAGGGGUUUUACUUAGAGCUGCUGUAUUCCUUGGCUCAAUGGUGUUUUUGCUCAAUUGACAGGAUACCUUUUAUGGUUUGGUAACCCUCACCUUAACCCCUCACACCGUUUUCUAAAGAGUAUGGAAGGGGAGAAUUGGAGGUACCUGGUCAGGUCUUGGUCAGCCUUCAAAUCCCAGAUGUGGAGACUGCAGGGAUACCUCACAGAGAAGACACUAAAGAGUCAUCUCUCAUUCAUCGAGUGGACUCAUUGGUUUGCGAAUGACCACAAAGAUGCUCCCAUAGGCAGAUUGCUGCAUGGCAUUAACCACUUAUUCAAAUUGUAGAGGUUGAAGCAGUCUUCCUUGUGGUCACUUGCCAUAACACUGUCAUGUGUUUUAUGAAAACACCAUCAGUAACAUUUAAAUUGAGUUGAUGCGGACGGCUCUUUUUUUUGUCGGAUUUCUUCAGUGUUCAGUGCUUGUUUGUGAGAUAUGCAUUGUUUGAAAGAUAAGCCUUUGAUUUUGUUUAAUUUUAAUAUGCCUUUCAUCAACAGUGGAUUGGGGUUUUAUAACAACAAUUAAAGUGCUUAACUACUGUUGAACGAUGUUGCAGAACAUAUAUGGUUUGUGUUGAUUGCAUGGAGAAGGGAAUAACCAGUUACAACUUGUAUGGUAAGAGCCUGGUAAUACCAUGGAAACAAA
ensembl:lncRNA